GGGUUUCAUUUUCUCCAACUCCGACUAUCCUCCUGGCUCUCUGCCUCUCUCCGACUUCUCCUUCUCUUCUCCCUGCCUCUCUCCGACUUCUCCUUCUCUUCUCCCAUUAUCCCUCUACCUCUCUUCGGCUUCUCCUUCUCUUCUCCCGUUAUCCCUCUUCCUCUCUGCCUCUCUCCGACUUCUCCUUCUCCCGUUAUCCCUCUUCCUCUCUGCCUCUCUCCGACUUCUCCUUCUCUUCUCCCGUUCUCAGUCUGUGAGUGACUGAAACUUUUCCUUCAUUGUGAGUUUGCAACCCUAACGGCCUACCGCCUAACCUUUACUCGCCUGCAGGCCACUUCCUUUAUCCUUCAAGCCUUCAAGGUCAACCGGCUACUCUGCUCUGCUUUCAGCCCAAGGUUCCUGCAUGUGUAAGUUCCUGUUGAAGAUUCCUGCUUGUCUAUGAUCUGGAGUUUACCGUGGACCAUAAGCUUGUUGCUGUCAGCAAUGGAGACUUACUUUGUCAGGGCUGCAUAGAAGGAAGCCACAGACAAGUCACCCUGUUUAAGAGAAUAGAUGCUGCAUUUAAUCUGGUAUGUACGCAGGACUCUCUUUUUACGGCCAUACAUCCUCGCAAGUACAGUCCACAUGUCAUAUGAGGUUAACUUUUGCAAAAUAAGGGGCUGAAUAUCUGUAGAAACAGAACUAAUAAUCCAAACCUUAACUUGAUUAUCUUCCAACGCCCAAGUCGCCCAUCCAGGAUCAGUUUUACUAGGCGCAGGUUUCUCCCCAGUGAUAUAGGGCAGACGACCGCGACUAGUGAUCCCAAUUUCAAGCGCAGCAGACCAAGAGAGAUAAUUGUCUUUGUUCAGCUGAAUAGAGGUGACAGGAACAUGCAAAUUUUCGCUCUUGGUAUUGCUGCCCAUGUCAAAGGAGGAGGACCCGGGCACUGUGGCACUUUGCCUACAAUGGAGGACGGGCAGCGGCAGAGCAACAGGAUUUUCGGCAAGCAGGCACAGGGCGGCGAACAAGCAAGGCGACGGCGGGCGGCGUCGAACUGCGAGCUGCGUUGGUGCACCCAGGCGACGUCGGGCGGUGGCGCACGCCAGGCGACGGCGGGCGGCGGUGGGAUGAUGAGCUGCGUCGGCGGCGGGACUUAGAACUCCAGCAAGGUGUAUCAUCAGCGGAGGAUUGUGAAUAUCAAAUUUCUGAGUUGGAAGAAAUUCUGGAUUCUAAGGUUUUUAAUUUGGAAGACAGAAAUGAUCUAGAAGUGCAUGUCCCUAUGGCUAUAGAAAUUAAAAGGUAUUACAGUUCAUGGUUUGUCAAUGUGGACCUCAAAGGAGAGAUGGACUCUUUGUGGACAAAGUUUGUUGAACCAGAGUUGCCAUACCCCUAAAGAAAUGAGGUGCUCUGGCCCAUGCAGAAGCACGUCCAUUGCAUGGUUGAUCUGAGAUUGCCCAGGAAGGGCACAAGUACAAGUGGUGAUCCCCAAAGUGAAUGUUGGACGCACUUGAUCAGUGGCUUUUAGGCAAUUAAAUGGCCUCGUGGAACUGCCAUCUUCGUUUACAGGUUUCUGUCAGGAUAUGGUGGUAAAAUUUUCAGGUCAUUUUCAAUCUUCUAUGAGACCUAAAAUCAUUAGAUAUGAUAUUCUGAAAUAGAGGUAACACCAAUUAGUGGAGUGGCUCAUCCGAUUAGUGACUGACUGACUGGUAAGUGGUCGCUUGCAUUGCAAGAUUAAGCAUGGCUGUCCUGUGAUGCAAAUUAGUGAGAAGAUCUAUUCAUUGUUUGCUGGUAUCUUCAUAUCCACAAGGCAUACCAAUGAGAAAAAUUGUGCUAUGGGAGCACUUGUAUUAUCUGAUGUAUUCCAUAUGACUUUGUCCCAUGUGAUGCAUACCCAUAGUUUGAAAGAUGCAUCAUGUUGGCCUUGCAUGGCAGUGGGAUGCUGUAUGUUAAAAAUCUGGCUUUAUGCUCAUUCUUUUGUGGUAUUUCUGUAAAAAAUUUCAUAAGAUGCUACACCUUAGCCUUUUCCCUGAUAA